rnacentral:tRNA from 1 species
GCCUGGCUGGCUCAGUCAGUAGAGCAUAGGACUCUUGAUCUUGGGGUAAUGAGUUCAAGCCCCAUGUUGGGUA